GAUAAAACCGGAAGUGUGAAGAGUCAUAAUUGAACGUAGAUGCAGAGCAGUAAUCUCCCGGUUUGUUUAUUCAAAGAAGAGAACGCUAGGCUCUGAACCACAGGUAGAAGUAGGCGGGGCUGUAGAGAAAAGUACUUCCAACGCUUUAUGGUUUUAGAUGUGAGAUCAGUAAAAGUUAGGGCAAGUAAGCUCCAUAUCUAGGUCCUUUAAACAUAAAGCCAGCUAACUGGUCAUCUGUGUUCUGUGAUGCUAGCUGAAAAGGAGGCUCACAGCUUGAUAGUGAACUAUGUCAUCCUCAUCGUUCUGCUGUUCAUCCUGUGGUUGUUGUACGUUGGGAUGUUCUAACACGUCAUUCUGUUCGAACGCUAAUCAAGUUUUUGAAAAUAAAUACAAUAAAAUAAGGAUGAUCUCUGGCGAUAUACAAAAGAGCACGCGACCUUCUGUGAUUGAAUGCUCUAGUGGUAAGCAACAUCUGUUAUAAUUUUCUCCACGCAAGAGGUUCAUCUAACCCUAAAGCGCCACCUGGAUAUGAAGGAUUCAGCUGUCAAGAAGAUUUUAAUUCAAAUCGCCUUUAUUAGUAAUAAAAUGAAAAUAAAAUUUUAAUAUAACCACCUUCCCAGAGCUAUUUUGAGAUUAUAUAAACCUUUUGUGAUAAAAAAAAACUUAAUUAUUGCUGUCACAUCAGAAUGUGUAGUAUCAAAAGUUUUAAAAACUACUUAUUCGGUUAUUAAUGUGAUUAAAUAAAACGAUGAUUGAUUAA